UGAGUAAAAAACGNGCGAUUCAAGGGCAC
rnacentral:piRNA from 1 species